rnacentral:rRNA from 1 species
AUUGAACGCUGGCGGCAGGCUUAACACAUGCAAGUCGAGCGGGGUGAUGGUGCUUGCACUAUCACUUAGCGGCGGACGGGUGAGUAAUGCUUAGGAAUCUGCCUAUUAGUGGGGGACAACAUCUCGAAAGGGAUGCUAAUACCGCAUACGUCCUACGGGAGAAAGCAGGGGAUCACUUGUGACCUUGCGCUAAUAGAUGAGCCUAAGUCGGAUUAGCUAGUUGGUGGGGUAAAGGCCUACCAAGGCGACGAUCUGUAGCGGGUCUGAGAGGAUGUUCUGCCACACUGGGACUGAGACACGGCCCAGACUCCGACGGGAGGCAGCAGUGGGGAAUAUUGGACAAUGGGGGGAACCCUGAUCCAGCCAUGCCGCGUGUGUGAAGAAGGCCUUAUGGUUGUAAAGCACUUUAAGCGAGGAGGAGGCUCUUUUGGUUAAUACCCAAGAUGAGUGGACGUUACUCGCAGAAUAAGCACCGGCUAACUCUGUGCCAGCCGCCGCGGUAA